UAUCGGCUUAAGGUACGGUAGGAGUGAAAGCUUUGACGGCGUGCAUUUCUGCAAGUUAAAUUUUUAUAUUUUAGUGUUCGAGGAGUUAUAAGAGUUGUGUUCUAGAGUUUCAUCAUUUAUCUAAUAUUUAUUUCAACAUUAUGGAUAGUAAAUACUGCCCUAAAAUAACGAAAUCAAAAGUGUUUUGUUGUGUUUAUGGAUGCAACAGUAGAGCAAACAGAGAACCCGUUUCAUUCCAUAGCUUUCCCAAGAAUAACAGUUGUAAACUGGAAAUAAUUAGCAAAAGUGGUAUUGUCGAGAAAGUUGAUGUACGAAAAAUUUGGGAGAAAAAUUUGAAGUGCGGAAAGAAAAUAACACCUUCCAUGAAAGUUUGUUCAAAGCAUUUUGAAGAGUCUGAUUUUCAUAUACAAAGUAAGGAGCUGAGACACGCAGAUUUGUGUUUGAGACCGAGAAAAACUAACUUGAGACGCCGAAAUUUGAAAAGAAAUGCAGUCGCAACAAUAAACCUUCCUACAGGUACUCAUGAGAACAUAAAGAAGAAAGACAGAAUUCAACUAGAUAUGAUCCUGUACAACAACCAAUUUUGAAAUCUGACUGUGAAGUAAUGAUCCAAAAUCAAGAUGAAAAUGAACUUCAUGCUCAGGAAAUGAUUCACAGGCCUGAUGAAUUUUUGGCUGCUGAAGCUCUAUGUGCUUUUAUCAAUAAGGAUAAUUUGUGACAAUAUUACUACAAAUCAAAAGCUUAACAGCUUGACAGGGUUGAAUUCUUUCGAAAUGCUGAAAA